rnacentral:lncRNA from 1 species
GAUCGAAACUGCAAAGACGGAAAACCUUAGGAUAUGUGUUGUAUUUGCGCCAACACUCGACACCAGUGACACUUGUUCAGCCUAGAAACAUCGUUGGCAGAAAUGCUAGCCAGACAGCAAUAUCUCUCGCCGUAACAUAAAACCGAAACAUCCCGGUGUCUGCAGAAAAUUGUUUUGGCGUAAUACUUGCCCAGAGACUCGAGAUUAAAACCGGCCAGCUCCAAGGAAGAUCUGGUGAUGGUAUGAGACAGGCAGAGGCAAACAGUCAGGCACCAGGACGUCUUUGUGACCGACAAGGAAAACCAUUGUUUCCUUCUCAGUACCGUUAAAUAUAUGUGCGGCCUUCCGUAUUCGACAACGAGAGCGUUUCAAAGGAGGAGAAGGAGCCCUGAACUGAAGCCCGGAACCACACAGGCUAGAUCAGAAGAUAAGACUGAUAUGAUAUUCUACAACUCCCUGAGGGGGUGUGGACAUGAGACGUACCGUUCAAAGCUGCUUUUUAGAUUCCGAGAGACUUUCAAAACGUUCCGUACGCGUGACCACCGUGUGCUAUCUUCGUCCCCAGUGUGUCUAUGAAGAGACGAUCAUCCCUGCUUCUACGGAUGACUCCCAGUACCUACGAUAACGGCCAGAUUGUUUCCGUGAAGCAAAGAGAAAGAACAGUCUGUUUGACUCUCCGACACCCUGUGGGAACCGAAGAAACUCGAAGCCCCGUGUUGUUGUUGCGGGGCUGCGUACCGCGUGCACGUCAUGCCUUCCCCGUAGCAAUGUUAUUCAACAUGUUGGCUCACGCAAAUCCUGUGAAAAACAUCAUUUACUCCGUUAAAAAUGCGGCUGAUAACGGUG